rnacentral:rRNA from 1 species
UGGGGAAUUUUGGACAAUGGGGGAAACCCUGAUCCAGCCAUCCCGCGUGUGCGAUGAAGGCCUUCGGGUUGUAAAGCACUUUUGGCAGGAAAGAAACGUCAUGGGUUAAUACCCCGUGAAACUGACGGUACCUGCAGAAUAAGCACCGGCUAACUACGUGCCAGCAGCCGCGGUAAUACGUAGGGUGCAAGCGUUAAUCGGAAUUACUGGGCGUAAAGCGUGCGCAGGCGGUUCGGAAAGAAAGAUGUGAAAUCCCAGAGCUCAACUUUGGAACUGCAUUUUUAACUACCGGGCUAGAGUGUGUCAGAGGGAGGUGGAAUUCCGCGUGUAGCAGUGAAAUGCGUAGAUAUGUGGAGGAACACCGAUGGCGAAGGCAGCCUCCUGGGAUAACACUGACGCCCAUGCACGAAAGCGUGGGGAGCAAACAGG